rnacentral:sRNA from 1 species
AUUUUCACUGAUUUUAUCUACAUAUUAGGUAUAAGAUUUUGAGUCUUUAUGUUAUUUCUCGAGUCUUUUUAGUGUCUUUUAAGGUAUUCUAUGCAAUGGGACAACAAUGGAGAUAAGGAGACAUUUUGGAGCAAAAGCUAAGGAAAAGGAAGCUAAGGACGAUUUUGGUUCAGGAAUCAGCGAGGAGUGUCGAUCGACACACUCUUGGUGUCGAUCGACACCAGUUUCGGCCCAGCAAAAACCCUAGACGCCUUCGAGUUUACAAAAGAUCAAGUUUGCCCCAGAAGAUUUCCCUAUUAGCAUUAUUAGUCCCUUGACGUUUUUAGGGUCUAUAUAUAUUGUUUUUAGACCUAAGUUUCUUUUAUCAAGUCUUUUAUCAAGUUUUCUACAAACCAUAUUACUGAGAGACAUAAACCAGUCGUCGAUUGUUUUCAGAGUUUUAUUGAGAUCUAUAUACAGUGAAGAGAUCCAUUCUUUCCCCUUCUCUAUUUACUGUGUUUUUGCUU